UACGAAGGGUGCAAACGUUGCUCGGAAUUAUUGGGCGGAAAGCGCACGUAGGCGGCUUUGCAAGUCGGAUGUGAAAUCCCUCGGCUUAACCAAGGAAGUGCAUCCGAAACUGCAGAGCUUGAGUACUUAAGAGGAUCGCGGAAUUCCCGGUGUAGAGGUGAAAUUCGUAGAUAUCGGGAGGAACACCAGUGGCGAAGGCGGCGAUCUGGGAAGAUACUGACGCUGAGGUGCGAAAGCGUGGGGAGCAAACAGG
rnacentral:rRNA from 1 species